AUACUUACCUGGCGGGAGGCGGGGAGGAGCGAGAGGGGGCAACAUGACCACAAAGGUGUUUUCCCAGGAAGAGGCUUGGCCAUCGCUCUCUGGAUGUGCUGACCCCUGCGAUUUCCCCACAUGGGGGAACGCGACUGCAUCUUUGUGAUCGUGGGGGACUGCUCUCCCCUG